rnacentral:lncRNA from 1 species
AACUGUGUUGUCGGCUCACUGCACGGACAGUAUUAAAAACUGACUCCCAGGGCACUGUAAAUGUGACAAGGAGAACGCAUGUUUACUCUCUCUGACCAAAGGAUAUUUACUAGUGCUCUGACUCUCCAUCUGACUGUUCCCUGCCUGUGUGGAUUAAGGCCAGUGAAUGGUGUGUCUCAUCGACACUUGGACAAAGAUUUGCUGGAGAUCUCUCUGAAGAUCUCUUUGGUGAGAUCUUCUUUGGUGUGAUCUGAUUCUCUUUGGUGAGAAGAAUAUAGAAAAUUGGAGAGGAGAUUGAUCAAAGAAGGUCUUUAGGGAAAAAGGAAAAUAGUUUAGAUGUAAGUAUUUAAUAAGGAUUUAUUGAGUGCCAAGGACUGAGUUAGGUUUUAGAAGGAACCCACAGUCCAUCAUAACAACAGUUUGCCAGUUGCUAUGCUAAGCAGUUGACAUAAGUGGACUUAUUUAACCUCAACAGCCCUGUGAGAUGAAUUAUAUUAUCGUCCCCAUUUUGCAGGUAAGGAAAAUGAGGCACAGAGGGAUGAAGAGAAUUGGCUAUGGUCAUAGAGCUAGAAAGUGGCAGAACUGGGAUUCACACCCGGGCAGCCUACCUCUGGGGCCUGAGAUCUCCCCCAACUGGAUUACAAGCUCUGUCAAGAAAUGUCGGCUCCCCAGGCUCUUCUGGAGACACCAAGAGAAAAGUAAAGGGUUUGCUGUACAAUCAAGCACCCUCCAGAAGAUUGAGCACUUAGCACAGUCCAGGUCUCUGCCCCUUCAAGGAAACAGAAGGCUGGGAGCAGGACCGGAGAAGGCACAGCUGGCAAAGAUACAGUUCUGACUUCAAUGCAAGAGAAACAAAAGGUGAAAGAGUCCUUCUAACUACUGUGAAAACACAGCCCCAAGGCUGCAUAAGAGCUAAAAAUAGUUUCUCCAAGGGGGUAGUUAAAUCUCAUUGUGUCCCCAGGAAGCCAUUGGCUCUAUUUCUUCACUACCAGUAUUUAUUAGACUCUUUCUAACCAGGUCUCCAGGUAAAAUAAAGUCUUUCAAAGACUCUUCUCUCUACUCUUG